rnacentral:rRNA from 1 species
AUGCCGCCGCCGCAUCCAGCACCGCUGCCGGAGACGCCGAUCUUCCAAACCCCAGACGAGCUCCUCCGCGACAUCUUCCUCCGUCUCCCCACUGCUGCCGACCUAGCCCGCGCCUCCGCGGCGUGCCCCUCCUUCCGCCGUCUCAUCACCGACCACGCCUUCCUCCGUCGCUACCGCGCCCACCACCCGCCGCCUCUCAUCGGCGCGUUCGACGACAGCGCCUUCAUCCCGGCCCAGCCGCCGCACCCCUCCGCCUUCGCCGCCCGCGCCUUCGCCGGCUUCGACUUCUCCUGCUCCUCCUUCCUCCCCUCCACCACCGGACGUACCUGGAGCGCGAUUGACUUCUUGGACGGACGCGCCCUCCUCGACGGCGCCCCAGUCCCAGGCAAAGGCGGCAGCUCUCAUCUGCGCUAUUUUUCGGUAAGGGACCUCGCUGUGUGCGACCCCGUGCACGGCCGCUACAUCCUGCUGCCCGCCGUCCCCGGCGACCUGAAAGCGCUGGUCAGUGAACCGGACCUCCUCCAUCUGGAGACUUUCCUUGCUCCCGGCGAUGAUGAAGAGGACCCGUUAUCAUUCAGGGUCAUGUGCUUGCUGCAGUGCAGAAUGAAUCUGCUGCUGCUCGUCUUCUCCUCUUUGGAUUGGCAGUGGCAUUCUCUUGCAUUUGACCAAUGGAGUGCUCAAGCUACGUUUGCUCCACUUGAAGGCACCAAGGAUGGGCUCUCAGAUCGUCAGUUCGUCCACGGAUGCUUCUGUUGGCGUUUUCCCCUCCUGAACAAGUUGGUUCUGCUUGAUACACGUGCCAUGGAGUUCUCUGCUGUCAACCUACCACCUGAACAAGGAUGGAGCAGCAAUUUCGUCAUUGUUGAGGCAGCAGAAGGAAUGCUCGGAAUGCUCGCUGAAGUCUAUGACAGGGGUAACAUGUAUGAACCAUGUUGGCUGAGGUAUUCCAUUCUGAGAAAUAACCAAUGGCACUUGGAGAAGGUCAUCCCGUUGCCGGAAAUGCAUCAUGUUGUUCUGCUUGGUGUAGGCGGGGGAUACCUGCUCAUAGGAGCGAUGUACAUCACAUCUUCAGGAGAGGAGGUGAUGUUUGGGUUAUUUUCGGUGGACGUCAAGACGUUGCAGGUCGAGUUGUUCGCUGAGCUUAGCAAAAUCAUCUUAUCUGGUCGACUAUAUGCUGGUUUCCCACCAUCAUUAUGUGCACCAACUAUAUGA